rnacentral:tRNA from 1 species
CGGCAUGUAGCGCAGCCUGGUAGCGUACCGUCAUGGGGUGGCGGGGGUCGGAGGUUCAAAUCCUCUCAUGCCGACCA